GGCAGUGGUUGCUAGAUGGUUAAAGCUCUGAAAUACUGAUCAGAAGGUCGGGGGUUCAAGCCCCAGCACUGCCA